AGAGUUUGAUCCUGGCUCAGGACGAACGCUGGCGGCGUGCUUAACACAUGCAAGUCGAACGGAAAGGCCCUUCGGGGUACUCGAGUGGCGAACGGGUGAGUAACACGUGGGUGAUCUGCCCUGCACUUUGGGAUAAGCCUGGGAAACUGGGUCUAAUACCGAAUAUGACCAUGCACUUCCUGGUGUGUGGUGGAAAGCUUUUGCGGUGUGGGAUGGGCCCGCGGCCUAUCAGCUUGUUGGUGGGGUAAUGGCCUACCAAGGCGACGACGGGUAGCCGGCCUGAGAGGGUGACCGGCCACGCUGGGACUGAGAUACGGCCCAGACUCCUACGGGAGGCAGCAGUGGGGAAUAUUGCACAAUGGGCGCAAGCCUGAUGCAGCGACGCCGCGUGAGGGAUGACGGCCUUCGGGUUGUAAACCUCUUUCAGCACAGACGAAGCGCAAGUGACGGUAUGUGCAGAAGAAGGACCGGCCAACUACGUGCCAGCAGCCGCGGUAAUACGUAGGGUCCGAGCGUUGUCCGGAAUUACUGGGCGUAAAGAGCUCGUAGGUGGUUUGUCGCGUUGUUCGUGAAAACUCACAGCUUAACUGUGGGCGUGCGGGCGAUACGGGCAGACUUGAGUACUGCAGGGGAGACUGGAAUUCCUGGUGUAGCGGUGGAAUGCGCAGAUAUCAGGAGGAACACCGGUGGCGAAGGCGGGUCUCUGGGCAGUAACUGACGCUGAGGAGCGAAAGCGUGGGGAGCGAACAGGAUUAGAUACCCUGGUAGUCC
rnacentral:rRNA from 1 species